AGAUGGGUUGAGGAUUGGGACUAUAAUAAAAUUGUUAUUUGCAACAGGUGUCAAAUAGCAGUCCAUCAAGAGUGCUAUGGAGCAAACAAUGUUCAGGAUUUUACAUCAUGGGUUUGCAGAGCAUGCGAAACUCCUAAUGUUGAGAAGGAGUGUUGUCUCUGCCCUGUUAAAGGCAGUCCCAUUGAUAUCCUUAUUUAUGCGUUAAAUACCCAGUUUCAUUUUCUGUUUUUUGAUUCUUAUAGAUUUGAAUGCUGCUUCUGUAGGGAGAGCUUUGAAGCCAACUGAUGUUGACUCCCUGUGGGUCCAUGUCACAUGUGCUUGGUUCUGGCCUGAAGUUGCUUUUGUAGAUGCUGAGAAGAUGGAGCCUGCAGUUGGACUUCUUAGAAUUCCAUCACAUUCUUUUGUAAAGCCAUGUGUUAUUUGCAAGCAGACUCACGGUUCUUGCACUCAGUGUUACAAGUGUGCCACUUCUUUUCAU